ACAAUGAGUCAAUGAGGCUCAUUAUUUACAGCGGGCUGGCAGUCCUCAACUAACGCCGAACUGCUGAGAUGCUGACUGCCUUCUAUCACUCACAAGCUAAGGCUGGUGUUAGUAUUACAGGGUGUAGUAUUCUAGCUCUAUCUAGGGUCCGCCUCUCACAGCAGCACGGUCUCCUGUCAGCUGGGUGAUGACUCUUGUCUUCAGCUGCACCUCCGUUGUAAGAUCCACCUCGAGAAAUUGCUCUACCCACCUGCCGGGCUUUCACCUGUGCUGGGAUCCGGUCAUGCUGCGGUGCCCACGCAGCCACUAAUUAUGCUCACUCCACUUAGAUGCAGCUCACAGACAGCUGCCAUCAGCGGAACACAAGCAGUGUGACCCGUUCCUGCCACAGCCACCUCAGAGCUCCCAACGGUUGAUGCCGACAUAAGAAGAUCAUCCGCACACCUUUUAUCUACAUUUAUCUCUCCCUCUUAACAACUGCUGCUGCUCUUACAUAGUUACUGUACCUCCAUAUUGGGCAGUUCCGGGUCUCUAAUAUACAUUCGAUGAGACCGCCCUACAUGGCAUCCGCAGCAGUGCUUCCUUGCCAACCGCCCCAACAUGACUUGCAGUUUUCUCAACCCGUCUGUCUUCAACUGGUGACGUCAUUAUGCCGGCACCCCCUGGGUGGCUGCGGCAUCUUACACACAAUGUGCUACUGUAUGGCUGAAGUGGACAUCUUUACAGGAUGUAUACAGGAUCUUUACAGGAUGUGGACAAGGCCAUUUUCCUAAGAUUCCAUUUCAUGUUUUACUGACUUCGUUUGAUACUCACAAUCAAGAUGAUGGGAGUGUGGUUCACGUCUUGGAGGUGUGUCCAAAAUUUGGAGUGGGGGGACCGAACAUACUGUCAAUAAUCUUUGUGCUGGGGUAUCCUGCUGUGGUUGGCCCUAGACAUCAGACCUUGCUCUCUUUGCUGCCACAUGUUUUUUUUGGUGGUGUGUUACAGAAGUCCGACUUCUGCUGCUCCAGACUUCUUUUGAUGGACCUAGUAUUGAAAGUAAAAUUUUGUUAUGGCCAUUCCUUUACAAAUAUACCCUAUACUACAAUGGACACUUUACCUGCUUCCACAGCGUCAUCAUCAUCAGAUGUCAUGGGAGUUACUGUAGGACGACCAGUACUGCUUUUUUCCAACACUGUAAAACCAAAAUAAAAAAUCAUGUAUUCAU